AAUAGGGACAAGGGGGAAAAAAGAAAAGGGGUGACGUAUAAAUCCUCCCUAGCUCUGGGAUAAAAACAUCCAUCCACAAGAGCUAGUGAGGAGAGGGGAAACCACUUAGAAUCUUAAACUGCUCACAUCUUCCUGGGAAUGUAAUCCCACCUGACAUGAAAACACGACCGCAGCCUCAGUAACAUGCAGAGGACUCAAGCAAUUUUGCAAGUUUGUGGAUCCGUUACGUAACUGUGAGCCUGUGGGGCCGCCGUGCACCGGGGAGGCAGCAGCCUGCAGCCAGCUGACCUGAGGGGCGGCGGCACGUGCAGGCUGGACUUCAGCAUCGCUGGAAAUGUCACACAGUGUUAACUGACAUGCUGGAGAGCUGCCUAAAGCAUGAGAGAGGCUUUCUGCAGGGCGUGUUGGAGUGUGAGUCAUCAUCCGUGCAGAGAGAGAAAGUGGAGAGAGGCAUUCUUUAAGUCGAAGACGCUGCUGAUGGAAGCAAUGCAGCACGGAAACAGAAAAUGUCCUUCCCCUGAUGAAAAUCUGCCAUAAAUGUCAAAUAACCACAUCAGUGGGAGGACUUGCAAAACAGCAUGUCCUCCUUCAUUCAUGAAGAAUAUUCUGUCUGACCAUGUGGAGGACAGUCUCGUGUUGUCCCAUCAGAGAUGUGAGUUUUCUUUUAUAUUCUCUGAUGUUGCUGCUGCUACUGCUGUUCACUGGUGACCCAUGAUGCACUGGCCCUGAUCCUAGUAUUUGGACCAAUCAGAGAUGCCAGACUAAAGCUCACAGCUCAACAGAAAUGUUUGGAUGUGAGUUGUCUGGGUGUGGCCAAGUCUGGGAAACAGGGCUAACCCAGCAAGCAGAGAUAAAAAGAUCAGGGUGAAGUAAUAAUAAUAAUAAUAAUAAUAAUAAUAACUGCUGCAGAUGUGUGAUAUGUCACACAGGUUGAAGGUAAAAUAAUCUUUUCAGCUUGAUAGAAGGUGUAAUCAUAAAAAAACAGACUCUUUUAGGUUAAAGUCACUCAUCUUUAAACUGUUUAAUCCUCAGAAAGCUCAGAAGGUGAAUGUUAGCUCUGCUGGCUCCAUUUUUCAUGAGAAGACCUCUUGUGCAGAACAGCGCUGCCAGGUUCCUGACUGGGACCAGGAAACGGGACCACAUCAGUCCAGUUCUGGCCUCCCUGCACUGGCUUCCGAUUUCCUAUCGCUCACAAUUCAAAAUACUCGUCUUUGUUUAUCAUUUCUUCCAGGGUGGUGCUCCCCCCUAUCUGGCCACACUCCUGAACAGACAUUCCCCAUCACGCGCUCUGCGCUCCUCUGACCAAGGCCUGCUCGCUGUCCCUCGGUCUAGGUGUCGUACCCGUGGGGACCGGGCUUUCUCAGUCCUAGCACCGUUACUCUGGAACCAGUUGCCACUCUCAGUCAGGCUGUCCCCUUCUCUGCCAGCCUUUAAGAAUCACCUAAAAACACACCUCCUCCGCUUGGCGUUUCCAGAACAUGUUUGAUUAUGGCCCUCUUUUAUGUUGAAUCCAUUCCACAGUUUUCAUUGGUACACUCAAUCCAUCCACUCAAUCCAAUUGUGUUUCACACAUUUGUAUUUUACCGGAAUGUUUCAUCUAUUUUGUUAUUUCCAUUUUGUAUUUUGUAAUUUGAAUUUCUUUUAUUGUUGAUUUAUUCAGUAUAAUUACUUACAACUGUACCAUGUUCAGCGCUUUGGGCUUCCUGACAGGGUUGCGGAAGGCGCUUUAUAAAUAAAGCUUUGAUUGAUUGAUUGAUUGUUUUAAAAAUGCUUUCAGACCGGUGGACUUCUGCAGAAUGAUACCAGAGCUAAACUUAGGUGUUCUCUGACUGGUUAGUUACGAUGCAUACCGUUAGUGAUCCAGGACUGAAACGCACGCAGCAUUGACAGAUUUCACAUGUUACAAAAAUAAGACAUUUCAAACAAAAGUUUUGAUAUUCUGGUAAGAAAUUCGACAGAAAAUAUGUUUUAAAAUGGAUUUAUCAGCUGUGCUACCUUUUAAUUAAAUAAAGAAUUGUUCAAACAAAAAGAUGUAAAACAGCGCUAUGCUUUCAAAUCCUGUAAAAUUACACUCACAUCCUUCUCAUGUGAUCCAAAACACCGUAAUCCAGUACAAGCACUUUGGAAUAAAUAUUUACUGUGACCUUUCAUAGUAGGUUUCAC